GCACCCGUAGCUCAGCUGGAUAGAGCACCAGACUACGAAUCUGGGGGUC
rnacentral:tRNA from 1 species